rnacentral:lncRNA from 1 species
CCUAUCUUUCAUAGUACAAGGGCAAAUCUGACCCUAAACCGUUUCUAGAAAGAGGGGGAGGAAGAGGGGAGAGAGAGACCCCAUUUUUUUGGAAGUCCUUCCCUCCUAAUUAUCAAGGGGGAUAUUCAUAGAAAAUUCUAAAAAAAGUAUAAUUUACAGGAAAAUAUUUGGUAGAAUAUUCCUUUUGAGUUUUCCAAAGCAAACCAGAUGUUUCAUGGUCUGUACGUCCACGAUCAUUGAUGACGGUCCGACCUUGACGUGUACGUCCACGACCGUUGAUGACGGUCCGACCUUGACGUAUACCUCCACGACCGUUGAUGAUGGUCCGACCUUGACGUGUACUAAAAUAUUGUAUAUGUUUGAAGAAAAUGCACUUUGCUAGAUGAAGCCAAGAAAAGCUAAAAGCAAUAAUGUAAUGCUUCUUUCACUGUAAUUUCAUAAAUUUUACAAUAAAAAAUAUUAUUAAAAAACAUCAAAUCUUUAUGCGUAUGAAUUUCUAUACUUGAACGUGUUUUGGUGCAAAAGUGACUGCAUAAUUGUGCAAAUUGUUAGGUAAAAAGCUAUGACGUAAAAUAAAAUAAUAUAAAGAAAGAUUAAAGAAAGUGCAAGUUGCUUUGCCCAUUAUCCUAAGUCAAUAAUUAACCUAUAAAUGCUAUGAGCUAUCUCUCUAUGUUAGAUUGGUCUACUAACUAUUAAUUUUAUUCUUGGAUCAAUAAUUUAUUUAAUAUAAAUAUUUAAACUUAGAAAAUAUUUACGAAACAUUUAUCAAUUAGCAAGAGAGAGAGAAAGAGAAGUGAUUGACAAAAGUUAAAUACUGACGCCACGACAACAAAUAACAAAUUUAAAAAUCAGCCUAAACUCCUCUUUGUGUACAUUUGAAAGUUUUGAAUUAGUACUAAUACUCACGUGGUCCAAAAAAAUGAAAACAUGGUAAUGAUUCGUACUUCUUCAAUUAUGCAAAGUUGAAAAGAAGACAAUAUUAUAAAGCUAAAAGGAAUUUAAAAAUUAAUAUUAUAACUAGUAAGAAUAAUUAAAUGACUAUUCUUUAAGAAUAGGAAUUUAAUUAAAUAACUAUUCCUAAAUAGUAGAAAAUUAAUUACAUGACUAUUCCUAAAUAGUAGGAAAUUAAUUAAAUUACAAUCUUGUCUAGGGAGCACUGGAAAAUUAAUCAAAAGAAAGGUAGGACAAAAUUGAGUAUCAAUAGCUGUCACUUUUAAUCGAAAAUAAUGAAAGAAUUUUCGGGCAAAAAAAUUAAUGAUGUAGCCAAUUUUGUCCCGACCAUUAAGGUUGAAAAUGGGGUAAAAGGGAGAUAAAUACAUGAUUGCGGCUGAACUCCCAUUUUGAGUUACCUACAUAUAUCGAUUUUCAUGAGAAUCAGGCCAUGUUUAGUCCAAGAGUUAAUAAUAGGAUUAUGGAUUUUGUAAUAAUUCACGGGGAUGUUUGAUAGUGAAAUUGUGUGUGUAGCCUCCUAAUUCUAAAAUGUGGUUGACAACAUAUAGACACGAUUUUGGGACACCCUACGACCGAAUGAACUCAAUUAUUUUCAAAAUCUGCCCCAGUGUCGAGUUAUGACGACACUGGGUUAUGGAGAGUUGUGAGAUUAUGAAAACGAUUUAUUGAGAAAAAUAUAGGGGUGACUACGACGAAAAAUUUAGAAUUAUUUGGAUUACCUACAUAUCCUGCAUUUUUGGAUGUAGGCAGAGUGGAGUUCGAGAGUAGCUCCUCGACCUUUGCUUCUGAGUUUUAGAUUCCUCUUUAGCAAAUUUUCCCCAGUUUACUGCUAAGGGAUAAUUCCACGUUGUGUUGUGCAUCUCGUG